CCUUUUAGACUGGAACAACUUACCGAAAGGUGAGCUAAUGCCGGAUGAGUUAUAUAAGUGCAUGUUUAUAUAGGAAAAGUUGGGGAGACCUGACGCUGAAAGAUGGACUCGCGUCCCAUUAGCUAGUUGGUAGGGUAAUGGCCUACCAAGGCGACGAUGGGUAGCCGGCCUGAGAGGGUGGCCGGCCACACUGGGACUGAGACACGGCCCAGACUCCUACGGGAGGCAGCAGUGGGGAAUUUUGCGCAAUGCUCGUAAGAGUGACGCAGCGACGCCGCGUGAAUGACGAAGGCCUUCGGGUCGUAAAGUUCUUUCGACAGGGAAGAAAAUGCCUAUAAGUAACUGUGUAUGUAUUGACGGUACCUGUAUAAGCAGCCCCGGCUAACUCCGUGCCAGCAGCCGCGGUAAUACGGAGGGGGCGAGCGUUGUUCGGAGUGACUGGGCGUAAAGAGCACGUAGGCGGUGUUGUAAGUCAUUAGUCAAAGACUAGAGCUCAACUUUAGUAAGGCUAGUGAUACUAUAAUACUAGAGUAUCAGAGAGGAUUGCAGAAUUCCUGGUGUAGCGGUGAAAUGCGUAGAUAUCAGGAGGAAUACCGUUAGCGAAGGCGGCAAUCUGGCUGGAAACUGACGCUGAGGUGCGAAAGCGUGGGUAGCAACAGGAUUAGAUACCCUGGUAGUCCACGCUGU
rnacentral:rRNA from 1 species